rnacentral:rRNA from 1 species
AACGAACGCUGGCGGCAGGCUUAACACAUGCAAGUCGAACGCCCCGCAAGGGGAGUGGCAGACGGGUGAGUAACGCGUGGGAACAUACCCUUUUCUACGGAAUAGCUCUGGGAAACUGGAAUUAAUACCGUAUACGCCCUACGGGGGAAAGAUUUAUCGGGGAAGGAUUGGCCCGCGUUGGAUUAGCUAGUUGGUGGGGUAAAGGCUUACCAAGGCGACGAUCCAUAGCUGGUCUGAGAGGAUGAUCAGCCACAUUGGGACUGAGACACGGCCCAAACUCCUACGGGAGGCAGCAGUGGGGAAUAUUGGACAAUGGGCGCAAGCCUGAUCCAGCCAUGCCGCGUGAGUGAUGAAGGCCUUAGGGUUGUAAAGCUCUUUCACCGAUGAAGAUAAUGACGGUAGUCGGAGAAGAAGCCCCGGCUAACUUCGUG